UACGAUUCCAUACUAUGGUCGUAACAUUCUCAACGAUUAUUGAAGAUAUAUCUCAGUAAUUGAAGCCUCGUUGAUCAAUGCGUGAAUAGAAGUACCUUUCGAAUUGCUGGACUCAGUUGUUCCAAGUUCUGAACGAACUGGAAGAGUAUAAGAGAAGUUGUUAAGCAUGAAGACUAUGUUACCCAUUGUUAGCCUGUCAGCUAUAUUGUUUUGAAUGCACAACAAUCCCAUAUGAAUGCUUCUCAUUAUUUCGCUCAUCAGACUUGAACCAGACCUUAACACGGGAUUUAUCAGAUCUGAAAUUGUUCCGUUCCACCAACUCUUCCAAGCUUGCAAGCAUUCAAGAUUUUCUAUAUGCUUUUACAUCUUGAAAAUGGUGUUUGUUAACAUUCCAUCAAUAUUCAUACUUACAUAGCUUAAUAGGCCAUCUUCGUUCUCGCCAUUUUGAAAACAAGUGAUUUUUCGACCACUAACAAUCUCCAAACUAAUACACCGAAACUAUAGAUAUCUGACUUUAUUGAAAAUUGUCCAUGCCUUGCAUACUCUGGAGACAUGUAUCUGCUACAGUGGUUAAAGAAUUAAUGUGAUUAACAGAAUAAUUAAUAAAAAAUAAAGUGAUACCCAAAACAUAAUAUUUUUAGAAAUUAACAGCAGAUAUGGAUUAAAAUAAUAAGGUGAAGAUGUGUUGAAAUUUUACUAGGUCCCUCUAAUUUUGCUUGUAUACCCUUGAGUUUCAUCCAUCAUAAAUAAUCUUGUCAUUCCAAAAUCUGAUAUUUUGAGAUUCAUCUCAGCAUUUAACAAAAUAUUACUAGUUUUGAGAUCACGGUGAACAAUUCUAAGCCUUGAAUCUUCGUAGAGGUAUAAAAGUUCUCGAGCAAUGCCUCAUAUGAUUUUGUAACGCCUUCCCUAAUCCAAAUUAACAUGGUUGACAUGAUCUACAUAAUUAUCCACCUAUAGAGUUGAAAUAUAGUUUGAAACAUAUUAAAAUAAUUUUUGUUGGCAAAAAGUUGAUAACAAAAAAAAUCUUCUGUGAACAUUCAUUAUAGCAGUCCUACCAAAUAAGAAGUGAUCCAGGGUUGAGUUAAUCACGAACUCGUAGACAAUGAGCCUUUCUCUAUCUUACAAACAAAAUCCAAGAAGCCUAACUAAAUUCCGAUGUUGAAGCUUGGCCAGUAGCAUAAUCUCAUUCUUAAAUUCUACUUCUCCUUGUCAAGAAUUCAAAGAGAGUCUCUUCACUGCUAUUUUUUGUCCAUUAGGAAGCUUAUCCUGAAGAUCAACAAUAUAAAAUGACAAGUAGAUCAAUUGCCUUCGAAAGGGUUUUUGAUAAUAAAUAAAUCCUAUAGAGUUUGAAUCUUGAAUUAUUUUGUAAACUACUCCCAAACCGCCUCAACCAAACUUAUUAGUAUCAGAGAAGUUAUUUGUUGCAAUGCAAAGAGUAUUAAAGUCGUAUUGCAAGGAUUGCAGGACGCUAAUUUCAUCCGCAGAUGUACAUUCAUCUAGAGCUUCACAAACAAGCCAAAAAAGGUUACCAGAUAUAUCAAUGGAAUGUGCCAAAAAAGGAGACAUAAGUUUGUAUAAGGUUCAAAUUCAAAAAUCUUUAGCUUUUAACUUAUUUCCAAGUCUUUGCUUUGGCUUCCUCUCUUCUUCCUUAGAAUGAGUAUCCCAAAGAUGAGCAUUGCCAAGAAAGUAGCAGUUGAAGCAACAACAACAAGAAUAACUAUUGUUUUACCAUCUUUUCCCGCAAAACUAGAAAAUAGCCCUCCUCACCAUAUCAUUUCAAGUGCUGGGUUUUAGAGUGUUCUCUUCAUCGAAUUGUGCAGUUAAAUGGUUGGGUUUGAUACAAGACAACAUUAAUUAUCUCAUCGAUAAUCUUCCAUCACUUGAAAAUGAACAAUUAUAUGUGUUGGGUUUGUGUUUCCUAAUGAGGCCCAAGGCUAUGAUGAUUUUUCGGGUGAGUUUUAUAUUUAUAGGCUUCAGCCCAGGAUUAAAGAACCUGAGUCUAUCACCACUUAUUUGGUAGCCCAUUUUAGAAGAUGGGCCACAACACCAAUUAUAUGUGUUGGGUUUUAUCUUUGGAGGACAAAUGGGCUUUAGCCCAUUUGCUUAAGAUAUGAAGGAGCCCAUUUUGUUGAAGCCCAAGCCCAAGCCCACCUUGCUUAGCCCUAUAGUGAAACCCUAGUUUCUCUGGUGUUCCCUUCUUUGGCCGAUUGCUUCUCUCUCACCUUCCUUGUUUGGCCGAUUGAUUGGGUCUUCUUGCCUUUUGUGGGUUGAUCUAUCCUUCCAUUCUCGCGGCCGCCUUUCCUUGUGUGCGAAAGGCUAUCCUUCGAUGUUGAUCUCAACCUCUACAUAUUCGAGACUUAGGUCUCUUUUACAAGUAAGUUUUCUCUCUUGGCUUUGUGCUUUUGACCCAAUGUCUUUGUGAUCGAUCUACUUUGUGUGGCUUUGACCCAUUGGGGGAGAGAGUGCUUCGUUCUGUUUCGAUUGAGAGGUGUUGGGGGUUUUCUGAGCUCUCGGUUUGGGAGCUUCUUUGUGGCUUUGUGGUCUCUAUUCGUUGGCAUUACCAAAGUGGUGAACGAACAUACCAGAUCUGAGCCUUGGAGCAGUCUUCGUAACUGCCAUUGCCAAAGGGAGGUUUUCUCUUUACUUUAUGUAUUGUUUCAGUUUCUGGUUCAAUUAUUAUUAUGCACUAACCUUGUUUUGUAGGUGCUUCCGCCCCAACAAUAUGAGCUCUAAUUUUUGGUGGAUUACGCAUGAAUCAUGGCACAGUGAAGUAGUGGAUGUUUUGAAAUGUGACCAGUAAAUACGUAUACAAGCUUUGUUAAGUUUUGUAUGUCAAGGUGCUGGGCUGGCGAGGUAGAAGUAGACACAACAGCAUGGAUGUGGAACACUCAUUUGGAAAUUCAGAUGCUAAGGAAUGUGGCUCUAGAAAGAGGGUGAGGUCUGGAUCAAGUUGUGGCAGUGGAUCUGACUAAAAAGCAUGCAGGGAGAAGAUGCGGAGGGAUAGGCUGAAUGACAGGCAUGCUGUCUCUAUUUCCCCUCUCUAUGUUCCACGAGUUAAGCUCCAUACUGGAGCCUGGAAGGACACCCAAAAUGGACAAGGCUGUUAUAUUGAGUGAUGCUGUUCGAAUGUUGACGAUUAAGAGAUGAAUCCCAAAAACUCAAGGACUCUUGUGACAGCUUGCAGCGGAAGAUAAAUGAAUUGAAGGUGUGCCUAGUUAUCUGUUUGGUUUCCGGGGAAGCUUUUGGGCCUCAGCAACGACAUUCUUUCGUGAGAUGACCCGAUUAUAUUAUGUAGGGUAUACUGUUAAAAAUAGUGGCAACUUCUUUUGGUUGCAUAUUAGGCUAUAAAGUUUUGCCUGUCUAGUAUAGUAAUUUGAUGCAUUUUGAUGAUACUAUCGAUGCACGAGACAUCUGUAGAAAAAAUAAAGCCAUUUUUGAACA